GUGAGGCCACCCAGAUUACCACACGAGGAACGCAGAAGGCUUUUGUUUACACUGGGGGGGAGGAGAAACAUGGGAACUCUCGGCCUAUGAAGAAAUUGGCCUCUGUUGCCAGUACUAACAAGGCAUCGCUGCCUUUUGAAACCGGGAUGUUCCCUGUUCCAUGCCUCUUCAGACCAAAGACCAGCUACGGUGUCACAACUUCCAACUGAGCUCAGCAAAUAACUCUCCUAACACACCUCCAGCCCAUUGAAUCACCUAGACUUUGUCUUGACAAAGCCCUUGAGCCUGAAGCACUACCUUUAAUAAAUUAAAAAUGAAGAAAGAAAACUAAGAGGACCAAAAA